rnacentral:rRNA from 1 species
UACAGAGGUCUCAACCGUUGUUCGGAUUCAUUGGGCGUAAAGGGUGCGUAGGCGGCCGGGUAAGUCGGAUGUGAAAUCUCAGGGCUCAACCCUGAAACUGCAUUCGAUACUGCCUGGCUAGGGUACUGGAGAGGAGACUGGAAUUUACGGUGUAGCAGUGAAAUGCGUAGAUAUCGUAAGGAAGACCAGUGGCGAAGGCGAGUCUCUGGACAGUUACCGACGCUGAGGCACGAAGGUCAGGGGAGCAAACGGG